rnacentral:rRNA from 1 species
AGUGAACGCUGGCGGCGUGCCUAAUACAUGCAAGUCGAACGCGAAAGUCCUUCGGGAUGAGUAAAGUGGCGCACGGGUGAGUAAUACAUGGGAACAUGCCCUUGGAUGGGGAAUAACGUUUGGAAACGAACGCUAAUACCGCAUAAUCUCGCGAGAGUAAAGGUGGCGCCGCAAGGGCUACCGUCCAAGGAUUGGCCCAUGUCCCAUUAGCUAGUUGGCGGGGUAAUGGCCCACCAAGGCAACGAUGGGUAUGUGGUCUGAGAGGAUGAUCACACACACUGGAACUGAGACACGGUCCAUACUCCUACGGGAGGCAGCAGUAGGGAAUAUUGCACAAUGGGGGAAACCCUGAUGCAGCAACGCCGCGUGAGUGAAGAAGGCCCUUGGGUUGUAAAGCUCUUUAGCGUGGGAGGAAGGUAGAUACGGUGAAUAAUCGUGUUUGCUGACGGUACCACGAGAAUAAGCACCGGCUAAUUUCGUGCCAGCAGCCGCGGUAA